UACGUAGGGGGCAAGCGUUGUCCGGAUUUAUUGGGCGUAAAGAGCGUGUAGGCGGCCAGAUAGGUCUGUUGUGAAAACUGGAGGCUUAACCUUCAGAGGUCGAUGGAAACCAUCUGGCUAGAGUCCGGAAGAGGAGAAUGGAAUUCCUGGUGUAGCGGUGAAAUGCGCAGAUAUCAGGAAGAACACCCGUGGCGAAGGCGGUUCUCUGGGACGGUACUGACGCUGAGACGCGAAAGCGUGGGGAGCGAACAGG
rnacentral:rRNA from 1 species